rnacentral:rRNA from 1 species
GACGAACGCUGGCGGCGUGCUUAACACAUGCAAGUCGAACGCUGAAGCUUGGUGCUUGCCCUGGGUGGAUGAGUGGCGAACGGGUGAGUAAUACGUGAGUAACCUGCCCUUGACUCUGGGAUAAGCCUGGGAAACUGGGUCUAAUACUGGAUACGACAUGCCACUGCAUGGUGGUGUGUGGAAAGGGUUUUACUGGUUUUGGAUGGGCUCACGGCCUAUCAGCUUGUUGGUGGGGUAAUGGCCUACCAAGGCGACGACGGGUAGCCGGCCUGAGAGGGUGACCGGCCACACUGGGACUGCGACAGGGACCAGACUCGUACGGGAGGCAACAGUGGGGAAUAUUGCACAAUGGGCGGAAGCCUGAUGCAGCGACGCCGCGUGAGGGAUGACGGCCUUCGGGUUGUAAACCUCUUUCAGCAGGGAAGAAGCGAGAGUGACGGUACGUGCAGAAGAAGCGCCGGCUAACUACGUG